rnacentral:rRNA from 1 species
AUUUUGGACAAUGGGGGAAACCGUGAUCCAGCUAUCGCGCGUGUAUGUCGAAGGCCAUCGGGUUGUAAAGUACUUUUGGCAGAGAAGAAAAGGUAUCCCCUACUACGAGAUACUGCUGACGGUAUCUGCAGAAUAAGCAGCUGCUAACUACGUCCCAGCCGCCGCGGGAAUACGUAGGCUGCAAGCGUUAAUCGGCAUUACUGGUCACAAAGCGUGUGUAGGCGGUUCGGAAAGAAAGAUGUGAAAUCCCAGGGCUCAACCUUGGAACUGCAUUUUUAACUGCCGAGCUAGAGUAUGUCAGAGGGGGGUAGAAUUCCACGUGUAGCAGUGAAAUGCGUAGCUAUGUGGAGGAAUACCGAUGGCGAAGGCAGCCCCCUGGGAUAAUACUGACGCUCAGACACGAAAGCGUGGGGAGCAAACA